ACCAUGGAAAUGUCCGUGGUAGAGGUGCGUUUGAGCACGUGAGUGACAUCGCUAGAAGCCGGGGAGGUGACUGACAGAUGGCGAUGAUGGCUGGAUACUGGAUGAAGUUGAGAUCUACCAUGAACACAGAAUCGCAGGAUCUGAAUUGAACCAACAAGGACUUUCCAUUGACCACUUCCCCACGUGAGGCCCGGGAGGGAGUUCUGCUUUAGAUGCCAAAAUGCUAUAACGUCUGGGAUCUCCGACGUUUCAGAAUCACGGCUGCAGAGGAUCUGAAAUUGGAAUCGUCCUCCAGAUCGGGGUGGUGGGGGCUGGAUUUGGCUACCACAACUGUGGAGAAAGGGGAAGAAAAGGAAGUUUUCAUUUUCCUGUAGGCUUCAAGGUCUUCAUAACAUAGCUUCCAAGUGCAGUAAAAACCUCAAUGAACUGGAUCCCGGCCAACGAGAGCCAAAGAGGCAAAUAACCAGGAAAUCAGUGGCUAUCAGGAAUGUAUUAACAACAGAAAUAACAAAACUUCUUGAUGACACAUCCUGGAGCCGAUAUAAACCUGUUCUUUGUCUCGUUUGCAUUUCUUGUGGCUCUAAAUUUAUGCAUUACAGAGAAAUUUCUUUUCGUUUGCUCACGGUGCUGUUUUAGAACUAUGAAAUCCGAGGGAGUCUAACCCAAGCCCUUAUUCAAGAAAUGAAUUUGCUUCAACACAGAAAUGAUAAUUGCUGAUGAUAGGUCCUUUGUUGGAACCAGAAGCCGUGCUUGGUGCUUAACAUAUAUCAUCGUCUUGCUUCAUCUUCACGAACAUCCGUGAGCAAGGGCUGUUAGCAUCCUACUUUACAGAUGAGGAAACCAAGUCUCAGAGAGGUUAGGUUAUUUGCCCAAGAUCACAGAGCCUGAAAGAUGCAAAACUAGAGUUCCAAGUUGGAGGAGAGGAUAUUGAAGCAUGGUUUUUAAGCCUAUAUUUCAAGCAAGAAAGAGUUCUCUGUUCACGAGGACUUGCCACUGAACCAAAUUUCUCUUGUCCUUUACUUAAAGCAAUGUCCCAGGGAAGAGAGAGGUUCGAGACACUGAACGGUGUAAGUGCAGAUUCACUGUCCUGAAGAGAUGUCAUUUAGGUGGAGCCUGGAGAAAUGUGAGGUUCUGUAUACCAGUGAGUUUGCUCCUCGGGUCUCGCAGAGCAGAAGAACGUGGAGUACAACUGGAGACCACAGCCAAGCUCAGAGAGCCCUCCUGUCCAGGAAUUCCUGCCUACCACCUUUUCUUCUCACCCGACCUUCACCGUGGCUUUGAAGUCUCAUUCUAGGAGAGCAUGAUCUCUCCAAAGUACAGAUGCCAUCUCCACCAACAGCUGCUGCCAUCCGGGACUCUGAGAUGCAAACACGGACGACAGAGAAAAUGAAGAGCUUCGGGUCAGAGCCGAGUUGGAACCAUCAAACCAAAGCAGUGUAGGAGGGCCAGGAUGCCCAUCCAGAUGCCGCCCAGAGAAGGAAGAAAUAAAACAAACCCAAUGAAACUCUAGCUCAGGGACUGCUCUCCCUUCUAUUUUUGGGAUGGGGAAGCUAGAUGCAGGGAGAAAUGAUUCUUGGCAGUUUGCAGAGAGCAGCCUACAUUGGCGAAAGAAACGCUUUUAAAGAGAGAUUAUUUUUAUUCCACCUCCCAAAGUGGAUCUGACCCAGCAAACCUCUUUUUCACAAAGGGAAAACAUCUUGCAUGUUGUGGCUGCGUUC